rfam:Photobacterium marinum strain AK15 contig32, whole genome shotgun sequence.
AUUGUUCCACCGCUGCGUAUCCUAAACGGGCUCUGCAGCGGUUAUUCUUGAAAAGUACUAGGAGUGAAUAGUGGCCCGUAUUGCAGGCAUUAACAUUCCUGAU